rnacentral:tRNA from 1 species
UCCCUAGUGGCUCAGACGGUAAAGUGUCUGUCUGCAAUGCAGGACACCCGGGUUUGAUCCCUGGGUUGGGAA